rnacentral:snRNA from 1 species
UUGCUUCAGCAGCGCAUAUUCUAAAAUUAGAAGGACGCAGAGAAGAUCAGUGUGGCCCCUGUGUGAGGAUGACACACAAAUUUGUAAAGCAUUCCACGAAAAA